UUUUUUUUUCUUUUUCGGGCUGCACUUGUGGUGGUAUAUGACGUUCCCCGACUAGGGGUCAAAGUGGAGCUGCAGCUGGGUUCUACACCACAGCCAUGGCAAUGCUGGAUCCAAGUUGCACCUUUGACUUACGCCUCAAUUUGCAGCAACGCUGGACAUUUAACUCACUGAGCGAGGUCAGGGAUCAAACCUGCAUCCUCAUGGACAGGUGGGGUUCUUAACCUGUGGCGCCACAAUGGGAAGUCCUCUCUUUUCUUUGUAAAUGUCCUCCCUUGCAUUUUCUCUGUCUUCCUCCCUCCUUGCUUGCUUGCUUUUUCUUUCCUCUCUCUCCUAACUUUAUCAUUCACAACAUUCCAACAGACCUUAACAACAACAUUUAUGGAUGAUAUGUGCAAAAUAGCAUGAUUCCUCAUCUUUAUUCUCAGCUAAUAUUUGAAUCGUGCCAGUAACAAAUAAGAGUUGGACACUGUCGUCACAGACAAAAGCUAUGCUGGGCAUGGCAACCCUUUAUAACAGGCAUUCUGUUUCUUGAAGUAUCAGAUCAGCCAGCCAGAAUUAGUUUUUCCUUCUAAAUAUCAUCAGCGACCAACACCCUGCCUGAGUUACUCCUGCAUUACACAAAAACGUGCUAUUUAUUUCUCGAAAUUCAUCCUUCUCUUGAUCCUUUUGCUAAAUCCACCAGGAGGACAUCCUUUCUUCCACCCAAGCUCUAAAUACUGGAGUUCCCAGGCCUUGGUCCUUGCCACUCUUCUUUAUACAGAGCAUCUCAUUUUACUCCUAAGACUGGCAUUAUCACUACACAGCGUUUAUUUCUGAAUUUUUACGUCUAGAUUGGGCCUUUCUUUCAGACACAUAAAUGCAACUUCUCGCUCAAUAUUUCCUCAUAAAUGUCUCACAGAUACCCUAAUUUGACCUAUCUUGAAUCUAAAUGUUUGAGUUUUGUCCCCAAAUCUGCUUUCGUUCCACAGUUUCUGGUAAAUGCUCCUGGCAGCAGUCUUGCUUCACACUCCCUCCUCUUAGUUUAUAUCUGAUCAAGCACCGCAUUCCCAAUUUACAAAGAUUUAGAGAACAGUCAGAGGUUAUUUUUCUCACUUAAAAUAUCUGGAGGCAGGCACUGUUGGCACUGGACCAAUGGCUCAGCCAUAUCGGGGCCCAGUAUCCUUCCUUCUUGUUACCGCACGGCUGAGAGAGGGCUCUUUCUAUUCUGGACGCUACACAUCCAUGAAGAGGGCAGGAAUAAGAGGGAAAAGCAGCACUGCUCUCUACGUCUGCCUUCCUGACUUUCANNNNNNNNNNNNGAACGCAAAUGCUUCCCUAGAACUUUCUCCAUACCACGUUCCGCCACCUAGAACUUAUGGGGCCCCUUCUCCCUUGGCACUAAAGGGAGCCACGAAGAAGCAAAGAUGGAGAAGAGGAGGUCAGACAAUCUCCCCACGCAGAUGAGGCAGCGAUGGGACAGAUGUCAGGUGUGCUCUGAAAGAAGGUCUAUUUGUUUUUUGUUUAUUUGGUAAAGGCCUGGUGUUACGUCGCUUUCGCCUGUGCAAGAUACUCCCCAGUCUCCCACUAAAUCCACCCUCUGUCCUCUCCCCCUGCUCUCUGCCCUGGGAGUCUGACCACCACGGGGGCUCUGAGGGGUAGGGAGAGGGAAGCCAGCAGGAUUCCUGCGAGCAGCAAGAGAUGUCUGCCCUAGUUCCCUCCACACCACACCAGGGCUCCCAUCCCUGCUUUCCUUGGCUCCAGUUUCCGCCAGACAGCCCUGUCCUACAGCUGGCUUGCUUUUGGUUUCCAUAAUUAUUCGCUCCCCUUGCCUCGCAGGCCUCGGGAUGGUGGUGGCCCACCCUGCCCGUCCCCGCCCCUCUGUCUGGCCUGGGGGUCCGGAGCAUCCUGUGUCUGCUGCCCUAACCAGUGCUGCGCCCUUGUUAACAGCCCCUUCCCUCAACCCUCAGUCCUCCCUUUGGAGGGAGUCAUCUGUCUCCUGCCUGAGAGAGUAAUCAAUACUGUAACAUCCCCUUAUUCAUGUUAUUAAUGAUGACACCACAUCCCAUUCGGAAUGACACGAGAACUCCCGCUGCAUGUAGGCGUGGAAACCAGAGCAGCCUAUCGCCCGGCUGCUCAGGAGUAAGGGCUUCCAAGGCCAGGAACUGAACAAAAAUGCCUUUGAGGUUCCCUUUCCUCCCACUGACUUCUUCGCAGCCAGUGAACGGGUGGAAAAUGCAUCCUCCGAGGAAUCUGUCUUCACUUUAAAACAUUCACUAUCAAUUUUUUUCAUGCAGGAACACAAGCUUGUCAGAUGGGCUUGUGCACAGAAGAAGGAAAACAAGAGAUUUCGCAUGAAGCGGCAGUCACGAGAGGCAGCAGAGACUGGAGGAAGGACCUCACUCUCCUGACGCCCUUCAUUGCUAAGGGGCCAAUAAACUCCUAGGAUGUGUGUGCACAGAGGGACGGGCUCUUCUUCCAACUCCUCAGGAGCGGCAGGGUAUUCCUUUGGAAGCCCAUGCUUUCCAAAAUUUCCUCAAGUCGUCACAACAUUCCUCGCUCCUCUUGCCUGCAAAUUAGUUGACCCCUAAAACUAGCUGACCAUCUCUAGGUGGGGUUUUGUCCAGGACCUCACGCCCGUUCUGAAUCUGCUAGUGGGUUUGUCUCUACAAUUUGAUUUCUUUCUUCCCCAUUCUUUUAACAGUCUCCUGGGGGGAAAGGAGGGUUGAUCCUCGUAUUCGGGAUGUGAAUAUGCUAGAAACAGGGGAGACCAGGGACACGGAUGCAUUUGCAUAACACUGACUUUUUUCCUGCAGACACCACUGCCUCCAGCUAGUCGUUAGAUCUGGAUUUUAUGUUUUCUCCCCCCCCCAUGCUUUUUACAUUAUUGUUAAUGCCUACAUUUAAAAGUAAAAAAUAAGAAGGACAUAUCUGGAACUCCCAUUGCCUCAUCCUCUGGCUACUAGGCACCAGCCCCACCCCAUGUGCUAUUUGCUCCCCUUUCCCCAAAGUUUUAAACUUUAAUGUAAAACUCUGUGUUUUUGUGAUUACCCUAGAUAUAGCAGUGUAUAGUGUGGGGUUUUUUUUUGAGGGGGGAGGAUAGGAAUAAAAUAAUGCAUGGAGAAUCAUACAAAUGCUAUAAGGAGAAUUUUAAAAACAUAAUUAAUAUAAAAUAUUUUCAUAGGUUUCUCUGUCAAUGAAUAAAUAAAUUAUAUUUCCUUAAGGCAUUUAUUAGUAUGCUAAUGAAAAUUUCAGGAUACAGUACCGACAGUCAUAAUAAUGGAAUACAUGAGGCCAAUUAUACUGUUGCAUUCUUGCAUUAUCUUAGAUUUAAUUUAAAUGACUCACAGCCACAAAAGUAGAAAAAUUAAUGCACUGGUAUGAUAAAGUGCAGUUUUUUUAAAGCACAAAGGACUUUAUUAAGGAAGUGUGAAUAUUAUUUAUGAAUAGAGCAGGGUUAUCUUUCAAUAUCUGUAUCCCAUGAUCAGGGAGGACUUUAUUUUUUUAUCUUAUAACUUUUCUCAUGAUUCCUUUCCAGUCAAGUAUGACAGAUCAAGGAAUGCGAGAAGUUUGUGGAGCUGGAAGAAACGGUCAAGUACCUCUAAUCAACCCUCUUGUUUUACUUAUUGUAAACUGACUCAAGAGGUCAGUGGCUUGACCCCAGUCAUGCACUUGGCUGAGACCAGAGCCCAGGACAGUUUUCCUCAAAGUCAAGUCUAAUAAUUAUUAAUGUUGGCCAUACUUUGAGUGCUGGGAUAAAAUGUAGAUUCCUAAGACCCACUGCCAGACCUAUUAAGUUUCUAGGCCAGCAUCCAGAAAUCUACAUUUUUUAUAAAACUUCCCCAGGACAAGUCCUAUCCACAGUGAUGUUUCAGAACCACUUUCUGGAUGUGCGUUCACCUCACAGCUGUGUUUCCUGCACAGCCUGGGGAUUGGGGUGGGGGAACAGAGAAGACACCUAUAGUGUUAGUGGGGGCAUGGGGCAAGGGACAAGAGCCAUAGACUAACAUAGGAACAUUAACCCACAGGAUACAUAUCCCUUGAAGACUUGAGGGAAAUUUUGCUUUCAUGUUAAAGCAAAUAUUACAUAUAAAGUGGUAGUGAAAGACGUAUCACUAAUAAUGCAAACAUUGAGAUUAAACCAGAAGUCGGGCGAGAGGCGGAUUAUGAGGCUGAAAAUCCCAGCCAUCUAACCAUGCGACUAAUUUUUCCAGUGACCAGCCUUCAUCUUCCACCUGUCCACAGCCCUCCUGCUCAUUAGCAUAAACUCAGGCAUGGUUGAAAGGAGGUCUUGAUGAAUAAUAAGACACUCCUAUUAUUUAGGGAAUUUCAAGGGUUUUUGAAACUGUAUACCAGGAACCAGGAACAAAGAACAUACACACACACACACACACACACACACACACACAUAUACAUAUACAUAUACAUAUUUAUAUAUUUUACCAUAUAUAUUGAAAUAUAUAUAUUUUAUUAUGAUACCACAAUGUGGUAAAAUAUUUUUUUCCUACUGUACUUUAAAAAUGAAAAUAUUAAAAAAUGUCAAUGAGUCUAUAUCCUCUUUGACUUCAAUAUAGCCAUUGUAUGCAGACAAAUCUCACUUCAUCUCAUUUCCAGAUGAGGGACCACGCAUACACAAAUUUUUAGCUUAAUGCAUUUUGUUGUGUUUUGUUUUAAGCUCUUACUAGUUAGACUCCAUACACAAAUUUUUAGCUUAAAGCAUUUUGUUUUGUUUUAAGUUCUUACUAGUUAGACUCCUAUGCCUAGGCAGUAUCAGUCCCAUCCUUAAUGGAAAUUUUGAUUGUUUCAAAUUGGGCUUAAGAAUUAUUUUACUCAGAGUUCUCCAGAGAAACAGAACCAAUAUGAUAUAUUGGUUGACGGAGACUGAUUAUAAGAUCUUGGCUCACAUGGUUAUGGAGGCUGACAAGUCCUUGUGGUUUGCCCUUUAUGAGCUGAAGACCCAAGAAAACCACUGGUGUAAGUUCAAAGGCCUGGAAGCCAGAGAGUAGAUGGUGUAAUUGCCAGUCAAAGACUGAAGGCCUAAAACCUGGGGCACUGAGGGCAGAAGACUGCUACGCAUCUUGGUAGUUGGGCAGAAAGAGAGCAAACCCUCCUUCCCUGCAACUUUCUGUUCUAUUCCUGCCUGUGAUGAACUGCAUGAUGAACACUGGGAAGGCAAAUCCACUUCACUUAGUUUACCCAGUAAAAUACUAAUCUCUGCCAGAACCUCUCUCACAGACAGGCCCCCAAAGCUAACCAAGUUGAUACGUAACAUUAACCAUCACAAGAAUCACGGGCUAUUUUUAUAAGUUAGGACAUCGAUACUUUUUGGGAGAGAAUGUAACUCAUCAUGAGGACCUACAUGUCUGGAAUUAAAUGUCCAGCAUACCCACUAGACUAGGGGUUCAAUCGGAGCUACAGCUGUUGGCCUACACCAGAGCCACACCAACACAGGAUCCGAGCCACGUCUGCGACCUAUACCACAGCUCAUGGCAACGCCGGAUCCUUAAUCCACUGAGCAAGACCAGGGAUCUAACCUGUGUCCUCAUGGAUGCCAGUCAGAUUCAUUAAUCGCUGAGCCAUGACGGGAACUCCCUAGACAGUGAGAUCUUUUAAGAGCAAAGAAAGGAGCAGUUUAUUCUUAUAUCUCCAGAAUCUGACAGAUUACCUGGCACAUACUGAAUGUACAAUUAAUGUAUUUUUUGAAAAUAUAUACGAGCCUACUAAUUUAGAAACAAUGCAAAUAAUUACGUUGCUUUGGUACCCAGAGAUACAAAUUCAAAUAGCUAAAACAAAAUGAUAAUUGAUCCUCACACUUAGCACUUAGCUCUUCAAAGGUUAAUCGAAUUAAACUAGAAUAACUAAGUCUUGCAUUUUAGAUUCCAACUAAUAAUUAUCAUGACUACAUCCACAUUUGACAUCAAAUUAACAGGUGUUUUGACAUCUUAAAUGAUAAUCACAUUUUCGAAUCAACUAUGCAAUAACCCAAACUGCUAAAAGUGACCUGAAUUAGCAGAAUGAGUUUUAUCCAUCUUAGAAUCAUUUGUUUAUAAUAUUGUCUUGCUUUUGGUGUGUAAAAUGAUGGCCCACACAGUUUGAAUAUUUUACAACAGAUGUGAAACCACCUCAUUGACCAUACAAAGGAUCACUCAGGUUUCAACUGAACCAUUUGAUUUCUCCAAGUAUCUAUCUCUUCUAGAAUUAUUUUUGAAGAGUGAUUUAAGAUAAACCAAUUUGUUGCAGUAUUAAAUAGUCUCAAAAUAUAUCUUAAAUUGAUUUAGUGUCUGAGAUAGAAGCUUGAAAGAAAUAGCAAGCAAUGCAAUUUUUUAGUCACCCCAUGGCAUUUGGAGUCUCUGGGGCCAAGGGUCAGAGCCAAGCCGAAGUUGUGACUCAAGCCACAGCUGUGGCAACCCCAGACCCUUAACCUGCUGUGCAAGGCUGGGGAUCAAAACUGCAUCUCAGUGCUCCCAAGAUGCUACCAAUCCCAUUGUGCUGCAGCGGGAACUCCUAUCUGUGUUUCUUUUAGCUUGAAUAAUACGAGAUACAUAAGCAAGAGGCAUGCAGUUAAAUCUAAAAUAGUAACAAUGAAAAUGGAAUCAGUUACUGUUUACUGAGUGGUUGCUGUUUAACUUCUUAAGAUUUUGCCAAAUGGAUAUAAACUGGUACCUAAUUUAUGUAGUUGAGUGGUCAGAAUGAAAC
rnacentral:lncRNA from 1 species